rnacentral:rRNA from 3 species
GAAUGCUGACAUAAGUAACGAUAAAGCGGGUGAAAAGCCCGCUCGCCGGAAGACCAAGGGUUCCUGUCCAACGUUAAUCGGGGCAGGGUGAGUCGACCCCUAAGGCGAGGCCGAAAGGCGUAGUCGAUGGGAAACGGGUUAAUAUUCCCGUACUUGGUGUUACUGCGAAGGGGGGACGGAGAAGGCUAUGUUGGCCGGGCGACGGUUGUCCCGGUUUAAGCGUGUAGGUGUGUGUUCCAGGUAAAUCCGGUUCACUUUAACACUGAGGCGUGACGACGAGGCACUACGGUGCUGAAGCAACAAAUGCCCUGCUUCCAGGAAAAGCCUCUAAGCAUCAGGUAACACGAAAUCGUACCCCAAACCGACACAGGUGGUCAGGUAGAGAAUACCAAGGCGCUUGAGAGAACUCGGGUGAAGGAACUAGGCAAAAUGGUGCCGUAACUUCGGGAGAAGGCACGCUGACACGUAGGUGAAGUGAUUUACUCA